AUUGAACGCUGGCGGCAUGCCUUACACAUGCAAGUCGAACGGUAACAGGUCUUCGGAUGCUGACGAGUGGCGAACGGGUGAGUAAUACAUCGGAACGUGCCUAGUAGUGGGGGAUAACUACUCGAAAGAGUGGCUAAUACCGCAUGAGAUCUACGGAUGAAAGCAGGGGAUCGCAAGACCUUGUGCUACUAGAGCGGCCGAUGGCAGAUUAGGUAGUUGGUGGGAUAAAAGCUUACCAAGCCGACGAUCUGUAGCUGGUCUGAGAGGACGAUCAGCCAACCUGGGACUGAGACACGGCCCAGACUCCUACGGGAGGCAGCAGUGGGGAAUUUUGGACAAUGGGCGCAAGCCUGAUCCAGCAAUGCCGCGUGCAGGAUGAAGGCCUUCGGGUCGUAAACUGCUUUUGUACGGAACGAAAAGCCCCGGGUUAAUACCCUGGGGUCAUGACGGUACCGUAAGAAUAAGCACCGGCUAACUACGUGCCAGCCGCCGCGGUAA
rnacentral:rRNA from 1 species